UGGCAUCGAGCGGACGAGGGAGCUUGCUCCCUUAAGUCAGCGGCGGACGGGUGAGUAACACGUGGGUAACCUGCCUGUAAGACUGGGAUAACUCCGGGAAACCGGGGCUAAUACCGGAUACCUGAUUCCUCCGCAUGGAGGAAUAAUGAAAGGUGGCCUUUGGCUGUCACUUACAGAUGGACCCGCGGCGCAUUAGCUAGUUGGUGGGGUAACGGCUCACCAAGGCGACGAUGCGUAGCCGACCUGAGAGGGUGAUCGGCCACACUGGGACUGAGACACGGCCCAGACUCCUACGGGAGGCAGCAGUAGGGAAUCUUCCGCAAUGGACGAAAGUCUGACGGAGCAACGCCGCGUGAGUGAAGAAGGUUUUCGGAUCGUAAAACUCUGUUGUUAGGGAAGAACAAGUACCG
rnacentral:rRNA from 1 species